CCCUUAGAUGUUCUGGGCUGCACGCGCGCUACACUGACACACUCAACGAGUUCCUAGCUUGAAAGGGUUGGGUAAUCAUUUGAGCGUGUGUCGUGAUGGGGAUAGAAUAUUGUAAUUAUUGCUCUUUAACGAGGAAUUCCUAGUAGGCGUACGUUAUCAGCGUGCGUCGAUUACGUCCCUGCCCUUUGUACACACCGCCCGUCGCUCCUACCGAUUGGGUGAUCCGGUGAAGCCUCGGGAUUGUGGUUCUUGCCGCUUUAUUGUGGCGUGACCGCGAGAACUUGUCUAAACCUUAUCAUCUAGAGGAAGGUGAAGUCGUAACA
rnacentral:rRNA from 1 species